rnacentral:rRNA from 1 species
AGGAUGAACGCUAGCGGAGGCCUAACACAUGCAAGCCGAGCGGUAUAGAUCUUCGGAUUUUAGAGAGCGGCGUACGGGUGCGGAACACGUGUGCAACCUACCUUUAUCUGGAGGAUAGCCUUUCGAAAGGAAGAUUAAUACUCCAUAAUAUAUUGAUUGGCAUCAAUUAAUAUUGAAAGCUCCGGCGGAUAGAGAUGGGGCACGCGCAAGAUUAGUUAGUUGGUGAGGUAACGGCUCACCAAGACGAUGAUCUUUAGGGGGCCUGAGAGGGUGAUCCCCCACACUGGUACUGAGACACGGACCAGACUCCUACGGGAGGCAGCAGUGAGGAAUAUUGGACAAUGGGUGCAAGCCUGAUCCAGCCAUCCCGCGUGAAGGACGACUGCCCUAUGGGUUGUAAACUUCUUUUGUAUAGGGAUAAACCUCUCCUCGUGAGGAGAGCUGAAGGUACUAUACGAAUAAGCACCGGCUAACUCCGUG